rnacentral:rRNA from 1 species
GACGAACGCUGGCGGCGUGCUUAACACAUGCAAGUCGAGCGGUAAGGCCCUUUCGGGGGUACACGAGCGGCGAACGGGUGAGUAACACGUGGGUGACCUGCCUUUAGCUCUGGGAUAAGCCUGGGAAACCGGGUCUAAUACCGGAUAUGACUCCGCGGCGCAUGUUGUGGGGUGGAAAGCCUUGUGCGGCUGGAGAUGGGCCCGCGGCCUAUCAGCUUGUUGGUGGGGUGAUGGCCUACCAAGGCGACGACGGGUAGCCGGCCUGAGAGGGCGACCGGCCACACUGGGACUGAGACACGGCCCAGACUCCUACGGGAGGCAGCAGUGGGGAAUCUUGUGCAAUGGGCGAAAGCCUGACGCAGCGACGCCGCGUGAGGGAUGACGGCCUGG